rnacentral:lncRNA from 1 species
GCACACACGCACGCACACACACUCGCACACACGCAGAGGCACGGGAGGGAAAGAAGCCGAUGAAUAAUUUUGCUAUUUUUUAAAAUACUGGCCGCCAUCAUCAAGCAGCGAGCAGCAGCAGAAGCGUUGAAGGGAGAGGAGGCAUCGGGACAGGCCCCUCUUAGGAGAGGAUUUAUAUCUAGUUGGAAAAAAAAAGAAAGAAAAGAAAAAGAAGAAAAAGAAGAAAAAAAUUGUCAAGCCCCCGAACUGAAGGUUACGAGCGGCCCGUCAGCAGCCCACAUGUAACCGAACUGUCGUGUUUCAUGGCUUUUUGCCACUCCAGCUGUCAAUCAAAGCCCGGAAUGUCAAGGUAGUGAAUGAAUGAUGGUUGAUGAUGAUGAAGAGGAGGAAUCUUUCAGACCCGUUUUUUUCUUCCAGUAAAACUCCGCGAGGGGUUUCUGCUUCUUGAAUUUUUUCCUCCCCCCUCCCCCCUUUUUUAGCUUUGCCCCCGCGGUAUCUAUAAUACGAUCCUCUCUCUUUAAAGUAUUGUUCAAAGAAAGCAGUGAGAAAAAUCAAGAAAAAAAAAUGAAUAGUUUGCAAAAAUUGGACUUCCUCCCCCCCUUUCCUGGACCAGAAGAGACCAGCUUAACUCAGAGCACACUCCCUCCAAGCGGUGCGGACAAGGGGCCACCCCGAGAGUCUUUGGGGGCCGCGGCGGAAUCGGGAGGGAGGAAGUGAGGAGGCAGUCAUCUGGGUCCGAUGUAGCCAAAGGCGUGUGUGUGUGUGUGUGUGUGUGUGUGUGUGUGUGUGUGUGCGCGCGCGCGCCCGCGCGCCCGUGCGCGCGCGCGACUAGUGUGCGUCUCCAAAGUGGAUCUCACUCAGAGCUGGGAAGCACAGGAGGAAAAGACGGAGAGAGUGGGGGAGAAAGAAGUUGCCGGGCGAGGAGGAGUGGCCGGCGCUCACAGCCCAGCUUUGUUGUGGUCGCCCGAGGCGCAGCGGCGGGCCGCGGUAACGCCUGCUAAUGGCUGUGUUAAUUACACAGGGGCGAUUUCGCGGGGUCAGGGAGAUGGGGCCAGCUCCGAAAGAACUUUUCCAAAAAGGAAAAGGAAACGAAGGGAACUACCCCACACCGUUUGGGUGGAAACUAGUUGUGGCCGGUGCCCUGUCCUCCCUGGCCCGAGCUGCACCAGGCUUCACCUCUGCGCGGCUGGUUUCCCGGCGGCCGCGCGUCAAUCACUACGAGCCCGGAGUUGGGGGCGGAGCCACGGUCACCCCGCGCAAGCCUUGCCGCCCAGCAGCCCCCAUGCCCCUCGGCCCCUUGUGGCGCGGCCGGGCGGACAGGCGCUGGAAGCGCGUCCUCUCCCCAACUUCUCGCUCUCGCCCUCCCAGUCCCUGGCCCAGAGAGUGGAAAGCGGACUGUUGUUCUCCAACAGCCGCAUCCCUCCCCAACUUUGAACCCAUUCUGAGAAGUGGAGAGUAGUGUCUUCCGCGAGCCGCGUCUAACCGACUUUCCCGCGGAGGGAGGGUGGGAUGGGGGAGGUUGAUUAGAGAGAAUAAAGUACUCUGUGUGUGUGUUGUGUGUGAGAGAGAGAGAGAGAGAGCGAGAGAGAGCGGGGAGGAGGGCGGGUGGGAGGGCUCUUUUUUUUGGCCCCCGUUCCAUGUUCCCUGCUUCACUGUAAGCUUUCGAGCAACAGAAACUAGGCUAAGAUUGCAGCCUGCAGAGACUCCAAGCGGAGUCGGAGAAAUUUGGCCUCGUUUUAAUAGGGCUGAGGAAUGAACUCCGGAGGUCAAUAAAGCCCUCCAAAAAUGAUGAAUGAUUGAGCACCUGUGAUGAUGAUAGUGAUUACCAGAGCAAUUAAACAGUUUGAUUAAAUGAGCCAUCAUAACAAUGAUGUCUGCGGGAAAUCGGCCCUCACAUAUAAAGAAAGAUAGUGCGAAGGGGCUGGCAGAGGCGCGGAUAGCGCGACGCCAGGGAGAGGGGCUGCGGGCCGCGAGGUUUCUGCCCAAUGGCCCGAGCAGGGACGGCCAGACUCACGGAGCUUCAGGGAGGAGAGUGUAGCCCAGGUUUUCAGCCACUCUUUUUUGCCGGGCUUCAAGCCUGCUAGAGCCGACGGGUAGGAAAUCUGAAGGUUGGGGGGAGGGUACUUCCUCCACGUCCUCUUUUUUUUCCUAGAAGAACUCCAAGAUUAAAAGUAUCCUUAUUUGUUGCUGAGUUGCUCGUCGACAUUUAAGAGAAGGUGAGUAAAAAAGAAAAGAAGAUGAAAGAGAAAAGAAAAAGUUGGUCUCCAGAAUUUUAUUUCAAUCGACAGUUACGCGAAUUCAGUUUAGCCGGGACCGGGAGGUUUGAGAGUGCGGCGGGGUGGGGAGGGGAAAAAAACAAAAACGCUGCGGAGCGUUUUCGACUUUGCAAAGCUGUUGAUGUUGGUGGGUCCAAGUUCCCGGUGCAGCGCCGCUGGCUGAGAAAUUUGUACUCAGUUUUUACUCUUCUAAUUAUUCUUAAAUUCAAUUUAAGAAUUUAAGUUUAUCGUCGCCAAUAGGAUUAUUGUUGUUUUAAAUGUCUUGUUCAAUAAGUGCCAGUUACGUUUCUUUUUAAAAGAAAUUCCUCAGUGUCCUUGAUAAACCUUUUUUUGUAAAGAUCAACUUCAUGCGGAACCUCUGCCUUGCAGGGUUUAAACAUUCAACAUUGCUACCUUCUGUUUCUUUUUCUGUUUUUAUAGUGAUACUGUAAAGUGAGUUAGCAUCUCUAUAGCUUUCAUUUAGAAAAACUUAAGUCGCAUUUUUAGAAAAAUAUUCCUUCCCUUGCAGUGUGAGUAAAAACAACUCAGACAGAUUGAUGAUUUCUAUAUUUUCUUUUCUUUCUUUAUCUUCUUUUUCUUUUUUUCUUUUCUUUUCUUUUUUUUUCUUUUUUUUUGAGACGGAGUCUCGCUUUGUCGCCCAGGCUGGAGUGCAAUGGCGCGAUCUCGGCUCACUGCAACCUCCGCCUCCCGGGUUCAAGCGAUUCUCCUGCCUCAGCCUCUUGAGUAGCUGGGAUUACAGGGGCGCGCCACCACGCCCGGCUAAUUUUUUGUGUCUUUAAUAGAGACGGGGGUUUCACCAUAUUGGCCAGGCUGGUCUCGAACUCCUGACCUCCUGAUCCACCCGCCGCGGCCUCUCAAAGUGCUCGAAUUACAGGCGUGAGCCAUCGCACCCGGCCGAUUUCUAUGUUUUCAAACAAUUGUAAGCUAAUAAUGAGUUGAUUAUCUGGUGAUAAUCUUGGGUUUUACAAAAAAAGAAAAGUUUAAACUUUAUUUUCAUGUGUUUUUAUCAGAUGCAGAAGGCAUUUUUAACCUUAACGCCUUUCUCUGUCUCUCUCUUUCAUAUUCUUAACUUCUUUUGCAUUUUAUUGAAUACAUUAAAGCAAACAACAGGAACAAUAUGGUUAGGUGUAGGAGGGAGAGAGAAAUAUGACAUUUUAAGAUAUUGUCAAAAAGUCAUAUUUAACUUCAACGACUUUUAGUUAAAAAAGUGUGAGAGUGUUGAAAGUGCAUUCCUACUGGAGGAAAUCUAUGUCUUUUUAAAAUUUGCCAGUUGUCUCAGGGGAGAACCCAGAAUUUCUUUGAACGAAAGAGAUCUUACUGAUCUAGUUGCAUGUCACUUAUGAAACUGUUAGUUUAAAAUAGCAGUCCUAGUGUAGUGGAUUACACAUGAGGAGAUCAAGUUGGAGUCGAUUCAAGGUAUUGGUUCUUGGUCAGUCUGCUGAAUUCAAAACACUAUUACCUUUAAUCAGCAACUUGCGGGUGUUUUAUUAAUAGAGCUGAAAAAGGCUCAUCUAACAUAUAAGAAUUUCCUGGUUUCCCUCAUCCCCAAUUUUCCAGUCCAAUAGAAGCGAUUCCAAAGGAGUAGGGUACCCGCACUUACUGAUUUCCAUCCUGGUGGCAUUUUGCUAAUGCCCCAUUGUCAGCGUUGGCACUCCCACCCAGGCUUCCAGGCUCAUCUGCUCUCCCAUAUUUGGGGUGAAAGGAAAGUAGGUGGGGCAGGCCCGGGAGACAGGCACGAAAUGGGGGUCGCAGGAGGUGGCACACACCUCCGUCAACAGUCAGCUCCUUCUGCCCAGGCUGGAAAUGGUUUUAACAGGCGGUAAAAUUUCAUCUUGCGGUGUCAAAUUGGGGUCAUUUUGGGGUUAGAGUUCUCAGUGUCCGAGAGGAGCUGUCCAGCUGCGUGGGGACUCAUUAACUGCAAAAGAUCUGUUUCAGUAAAAACAAUUCAAAGACAAUCAGAAGGCUAAAGACCCUCUACAAAUCGCAUUUUACAAGUGCCCCAGAACAAAUAUGGAUGGUGAAACCUAUUUCUUCAGAAUCCCAAAUCAGCUACUUAGCUCUGGAGUGGGGGUGGGGGUACUGCAUAAAAAAGAGGUGAAAAGGAGGGGACCAAGCGGGUGGGGACCAGUGGAAGGGGGAAUCGGGCCUCUCAAAUUUAAGAGUCUGUUUUUAAUCACCUCUUUCUUAUUGAAGCAGCCCCAAGAGUUCUGAAAACUGCUACUUUUCUAUUUUUCAUUUUCUUUUUUUGAGCCAACAUGGAAUGCUAUUAUAGGUAACAUUUAAGAUUUAAAAGGAAUAAUUGAAUUCCACUAUAGUCCCUUAAUUUGAAGGGCAUUGGCUUUAUGGGGAGUGUUUAAUUUGAACCAAGAAUUUAUGAACCCAGACUCUAGGUGAAUUUGCCCACACUCCUUAAGGAGCUUGUGUAGCUGUUUCUUUUUCUUUUCCUUGAAAGUUAUAGCUUCUUAGCACAGAUAACUUCAAAUUCCUCAGAACUGAGAAGUCCAAAGUGUUAAUCUGUGUAUUAAAAUCGCCAGGUUUAAAUCCUUUUUGUCUUCUUACAACAGUUAGAACAAUUGACGCCUUGCUAGAGAAGCAAAUAAGUCCAACCUUAAUCUUAUCUGUAACUUUAUUUAAUGUUUUGAUUUGGAAUAUUUUGGAUUAAGCAUAUCUUUAAAAACUCUGUAAGGUUAAUUUUUAUUCCGGGAGGGAAGUUCUCUUUACUGAUUUUGAAAAAAGACAUGAAUUAUUACUUUGAUUUUCAAAAAUUCCUUCAGGUAAAAGGAAAAUUCAGGUUUAAAAUGAGAAGCUAGAUAUGUGAAAUGCCAGAGAUUUUAGGAUAAAACCAAGUCAAUACUUAAAAGUAAAGUAUCAUUUGAAAGAAAUUUUAUUUCUUGCAUUACUGAACUGAGCAAGUAACAGUGAUCAAAAAUAUGUUAUUCUCUCUCCAUCUCUCUCUCUCUCUGGACUCCACUUCUGUCACUAGGUCUUCUCUUUCCAUCCCCAGCACUUUUCUUUGGGUUCUGAAUGACACAGUGAUUUUUUUUUUUUGUAGUCUAGUUAUUUUCUCCAAGCGUCUCAGAGUAUUUCUAAAUUGUUAUUCAAGGAGUUUGAUUUCAGCCCUGCAGAAACAGCCCUGAGCCCAGCAUCGCUGGGACAAAGGCAGAAGGGGCUAUCUUCUGUUCAAGACCUGCUGGCUGACAGUUGGAAUUUUUGAUAUAUAUUUUAUUUGGCGUUUCCAAUAACGUGUUUGUCUUUCCCUCUCCACCCCUUGCAGCCAUCUAUUACUUUUAAAACAUCCCUUCUCCAUAAACAUCGGCUCAUCCUUGUGAACUAUUCUUGACCUUCCCAGCAGUGUAACCAGCAGCUCUGAAAGUUGGCCUAGAAAUAAUUCCACUGGCUUCCUUACCUGUUAACUUUACUCACUCUUCCUAGCUGGGAUCAACAGAAGGAAGGGGACUUUUUUGUUUGCUUUUGUUGUUGUUGGUGGUGGUGGUGGUGGUGGUGGUGGUUUUUGGUUCUUUGGUCCUUUUCCCACUUAAACUUUCUAUAAUGAUUUAUUCUCCGCCUCCUCCCAUUAAUAACGUUUAAGCACCCCACACUUUAUUUUUUAAAUAAAAUGGAGUAAAAUUAUUAUACUUUUUUCCUUUAUGCCCCCUUUUCUUUUAUUUCUCCCAAUUUUAGGGGCUUCACCAUCUCAUAGAAAGGACUUCAAUAAAUAGCCCUCUAGCGCUAUCUGGCGGGGCUCCAAACACGACGUGCGCUUGCUCUCACUGUUUCUUCCUCCUUCCCGCGCUCUCUUCUUUCCUCUCUUUCUUCCUCUCUCCUGCUUUUUCUCUCGUCUCUUCCGCUCGAUUGUUUUCCUCUUUUUUUCUGUCCUCCUGCGGCCUCUUGUCUAGUUCCUACCCCUACUUCAGCGCAGGCGGCUUGGAAAGCCCCGGCCAGAGGCUAGUAACUCUCGCAAGUGGGAGAUGCUCUGGCGACGGAUCUCUCUUUUCUGAUCCCUCCUCCCCCUUACCCAGCGCGGAUCACACACAUCCUUUGCCUUUGAUUAGCAUCUUAAAGUUGCUUAGCGUGCCGCUUAAGUCCCAGCGUCUCAGCUGGCGGUGGUUUGGAGAGGCUUAAAACUGCAUUCAUGAAGUUUGGAGGAAAGAAAUCAGACACUGGAAUUCAGGGCUAGGAGCCCAGCUCAGUUUUAGGUCAGAAGGCCGAGUCUCAGUGCGAGAUUGAGGAAGGGUCGGGGCUUAACGGGGGAGGUGGGGGUGGCGGGGGGGGGAACAGCACGGCGCGGCGCCUAGCCUGCGAGAUGGAGUCGGAGUGGGGGUGCGAGCGGUCCUCCACCGCCUCUGCCCGAUCCGUACCUCACAAUGGACUGCUCGAGUUUGUAUCUAGGCCUGUCCAGGAUUGUUUACUCCUUCAAUUAAUCAGCUUUAUCUCUUUUCCCCCUCCCCCCACCUCCACCAAAUCUGGAGAGGAGUGGGAAAGAACUGGAAAACUCACAGGGCAAAGAGAGAAAGCCAACAGUCAUAGUGCGGGAGGAGGCACGCCUGGGAUGCAAUACCCAACAGUCUCCUCCCUGCUUUCCUGCAAUUUGCAGGUCAUUGUCUUUCUUAUUUGUAGCUUUUUUUUUUUUUCUUCAGUAGCCGGUAAACAAUCGAACGCCGGGUAGGGAGGUCAGAGGGGAUGGGGCUGUGGGAGAGAUUCUACUCAGGCUAGGUGCUUUAGAUUUGGACCUGGCUGUGUCCCUACUUUAUUAAAAUUCUCAUGUGGCGCGCGCUGUCUUCUCUCUUCUCUCUCUCUCUCUCUCACACACACACGCACAUACACACACAGCCCGAGAGAAAUUUCCAAUCUUUGAGCAAAUCUCUUCCAUCUAGUCCUUGAAACAGAGGAAAGGACAUGGGACCUGAAGGAGAGUUAUGAUUGAAUUUUCUAAAAUUUAGUUUUGACAUUGCAAAGUAAAAGUGAGGACCGUAUUCCCAAUACAGACCCAGAGGGUGGUUAUUUCAGGUGAGGGGACCUCAGCCUGUGACGUCUAUGAUCAACCAGACAAAGACCCCUUCCUAAAUCUGAAGUCCCACCCCCACCCGUGGCAAACAUGGAAUACAAGGGAGGGGAAGGAUGGCACAAUAGUGGGUUCUGUUUUCCAAGAACUGCCCCCCACCUCCAUUGCAGAAGGAAAAAAAAGCACGGUUCGGGUGUAAUUAAUUGGGGACUGUUAUUAGGUCAUCAUUAGCCAAGGUACAAAUAAUAGCAGCACAUUUUUACUUAAAAUUGACCAGCCCCAGAGUGAUAGAUCGAUUUGGAGUAUAAAAAGAUGUAUCAAAACAUCAAUGUCGAUUAUUUGAAAUAUUGUAGUCGAAUUUUUUUUAUUGCUUCAUCGGUUAAGUGUCUGAAAAUGCAGUGUUCAAACAUAUAUUUAUGUUGUCAAUACUGUCAGAACUGUCAGUUUUACUAUACUGGAUUUGUACUAUAUUUCAAAUAUGCUAAUUUACAUAAAAUGCCCACCCUAGGAUUCCCCCCCUACACCCACCCCAUCUCUGGAAAAUCCGUGUCAGUUUCUUCAAAGGAUUCAGCAAUCUUUGCCUAAGCUAAAGUGUGCACUACCUCUUUUACUCAAUUUUCCACAUCGGAUUACAUGUCUUUUUCACCAUCUCUAACUUUCAAAGAGAUCCUUCUUCCUUUCUCCCCAAUUCUGCCUACUCUAACCUCUUCUUCAAAAUAGUACUGAGGCACUUGGAAAGCUUCGAAUUUAAAUAUCCACAUCCCAGCUCCAAAUAUACCAUUGGAGUAAAAAAACGGAAAAACUGGACUUGAGUGUACUUGGCCGCACUCGGGUAAACCAGGCUUCACCAGGUAGACGUUCUCAUACCGUAAGGGUCCAUCAUCAAAUUACCUGGCAGAUUGAAAUCUUCCAGGGAAAAUGAAUUUGGAAAUGUAAACACCUUUUCUUUCUUUUUACUUAAAAGCCUCGAUGGUAGAAAAAGAAAUAAUACUUAUAAAUGAUCGGCACGUUUUAACUUUAAAAGCUUUUGAACUCAAGUGAAAGACACACGUUGGAAACAGAAUUGAUAGUUUUAAUUCUACCCAUUUUCACCUGGCACAUCAGAUCAGUGGCAAUCAUUUAUUUUAUGGGGUGUGGAGGGGAAAGGGAUAGAAAGCGGAUAGAAAGCUAGAAUCCACUGAAGUCCCUGUCCUAAAAAUCUCAGAGAAAUUAAAGACUUAUUGAAACACAAACAUUCCAUCGCUCCAUACUCUCCGUCCAGAUGAAUUGAAACUUAUAAAUCCACGCUCUCCCCAAUUUUAUGUUUUUUAUUUAUUUUUUUUCAGGGUUUGAUAGGAAAGAUACCCAAGUCUGAUAGGGAAGACAGGGCCACUUCUGGACUAGCUGUGAGGAUGUGUUUUCAUUUCCAUAACACUGAAGCACUUUCUGUAAACCUUUUGAUGUACUUAAAUAAGUCUAUUUGGACAUUUAAAGAAGCUACACAUACAAACAUAGCUUGGCUUUUUGCCGUCAAUCCCAGCAUUAAAAAAACAUUCAUAAUCUAACUGAGAAGCUCUUUCAUACCCAUCCUUCUUUCAAAUAAGUAAAUAAAUAAAGAAAUAGAAGUGCAAACCAAAGAAAGUUUCCAGCGUGCAUCUGUACGUCUUCGUGUGCGAGUUUAUAAACAACUUCCAGUCGGUACUUGGGUGUUACCUCCCUCCUGCCACACACCCCAAGGCAGAGGCAUCGAGGGAUCGCCCCCAGAGAGCUGUGUUUACUUAGCUUGUUUUAAAAAAAAUCUCGCCGCCAUGUAUGACAAGUGUUACUGCAAGAAAUUCAUCAGCCUUCUACAGAUACUUCCAGUUUUGCUGUAAUGAUCUGCAGAAGAGAACUGCCAUCACUUUCUCACAUCCCAAGGUGUUGCAGGAACUCAGAGAGAGGGGAGAGUGGCUGAAACGCUUAAUUACCGGAGGCGAAGGAGGGGCGCGCGGGGGACCGAAGGAGAGGGGAGUGAAGAAGGAAGGUCCUUUACCAGGCUUGUACCUGGAGAAAGCUUUGAAUCGCUUCUCUGCUAUAUUUGGAAAAGGUAUGCUUGCUUUUUAAAAAAAUGCCUUUAGGGCAAAGUGAUACCCUUGUGUAAUAAUUAACUCAGACAAUAAAAAUAAUUGGA